rnacentral:rRNA from 1 species
UUGAACGCUGGCGGCAGGCCUAACACAUGCAAGUCGAACGGUAGCACAGAGAGCUUGCUCUCGGGUGACGAGUGGCGGACGGGUGAGUAAUGUCUGGGAAACUGCCCGAUGGAGGGGGAUAACUACUGGAAACGGUAGCUAAUACCGCAUAACGUCUUCGGACCAAAGUGGGGGACCUUCGGGCCUCACACCAUCGGAUGUGCCCAGAUGGGAUUAGCUAGUAGGUGGGGUAAUGGCUCACCUAGGCGACGAUCCCUAGCUGGUCUGAGAGGAUGACCAGCCACACUGGAACUGAGACACGGUCCAGACUCCUACGGGAGGCAGCAGUGGGGAAUAUUGCACAAUGGGCGCAAGCCUGAUGCAGCCAUGCCGCGUGUAUGAAGAAGGCCUUCGGGUUGUAAAGUACUUUCAGCGGGGAGGAAGGCGAUGGAGUUAAUAGCUUCAUCGAUUGACGUUACCCGCAGAAGAAGCACCGGCUAACUCCGUGCCAGCAGCCGCGGUAAUACGGAGGGUGCAAGCGUUAAUCGGAAUUACUGGGCGUAAAGCGCACGCAGGCGGUCUGUCAAGUCGGAUGUGAAAUCCCCGGGCUUAACCUGGGAACUGCAUUCGAAACUGGCAGGCUAGAGUCUUGUAGAGGGGGGUAGAAUUCCAGGUGUAGCGGUGAAAUGCGUAGAGAUCUGGAGGAAUACCGGUGGCGAAAGGCGGCCCCCUGGACAAAGACUGACGCUCAGGUGCGAAAGCGUGGGGAGCAAACAGGAUUAGAUACCCUGGUAGUCCACGCCGUAAACGAUGUCGACUUGGAGGUUGUGCCCUUGAGGCGUGGCUUCCGGAGCUAACGCGUUAAGUCGACCGCCUGGGGAGUACGGCCGCAAGGUUAAAACUCAAAUGAAUUGACGGGGGCCCGCACAAGCGGUGGAGCAUGUGGUUUAAUUCGAUGCAACGCGAAGAACCUUACCUACUCUUGACAUCCAGCGAAUUCGGUAGAGAUACCUUAGUGCCUUCGGGAACGCUGAGACAGGUGCUGCAUGGCUGUCGUCAGCUCGUGUUGUGAAAUGUUGGGUUAAGUCCCGCAACGAGCGCAACCCUUAUCCUUUGUUGCCAGCGGUCCGGCCGGGAACUCAAAGGAGACUGCCAGUGAUAAACUGGAGGAAGGUGGGGAUGACGUCAAGUCAUCAUGGCCCUUACGAGUAGGGCUACACACGUGCUACAAUGGCGCAUACAAAGAGAAGCGACCUCGCGAGAGCAAGCGGACCUCAUAAAGUGCGUCGUAGUCCGGAUUGGAGUCUGCAACUCGACUCCAUGAAGUCGGAAUCGCUAGUAAUCGUAGAUCAGAAUGCUACGGUGAAUACGUUCCCGGGCCUUGUACUCACCGCC